rnacentral:rRNA from 1 species
AUUGAACGCUGGCGGUAUGCUUAAGACAUGCAAGUCGAACGGUAACAGACCUUCGGGUGCUGACGAGUGGCGGACGGGUGAGUAACACGUGGGAAUCUACCUUGUAGUGGGGGAUAAGCCAGGGAAACUUGGACUAAUACCGCAUACGCCCUAAGGGGGAAAGGAGCAAUUCGCUAUAAGAUGAGCCCGCGUCUGAUUAGCUAGUUGGUGAGGUAAAGGCUCACCAAGGCGACGAUCAGUAGCUGGUCUGAGAGGAUGACCAGCCACAUUGGGACUGAGACACGGCCCAGACUCCUACGGGAGGCAGCAGUCGGGAAUAUUGGACAAUGGGGGCAACCCUGAUCCAGCAAUACCGCGUGUGUGAAGAAGGCCUGCGGGUUGUAAAGCUCUUUCGGUGGGAACGAAAUAUGCCGGCCAAUACCCCGGCAGGCUGACGUUACCCAAUGAAGAAGCACCGGCUAACUCUGUGCCAGCAGCCGCGGUAAAGUAGA